GGGCCCGCACAAGCGGCGGAGCAUGCGGAUUAAUUCGAUGCAACGCGAAGAACCUUACCAAGGCUUGACAUGCAGGGAAAUCUCACAGAGAUGUGAGGUCCGCAAGGGUCCUGCGCAGGUGGUGCA
rnacentral:rRNA from 1 species